GACGUAGGGCGCGAGCGUUGUCCGGAUUUAUUGGGCGUAAAGAGCUCGUAGGCGGCUUGUCGCGUCGUCUGUGAAAUCCCGUGGCUCAACUGCGGGCUGGCAGUCGAUACGGGCAGGCUGGAGUUCGGUAGGGGAGACUGGAAUUCCUGGUGUAGCGGUGAAAUGCGUAGAGAUUGGAAAGAACACCGAUGGCGAAGGCACUUUACUGGGCUAUUACUAACACUCAGAGACGAAAGCUAGGGUAGCAAAUGGG
rnacentral:rRNA from 1 species